rnacentral:rRNA from 1 species
UACAGAGGUCCCAAGCGUUGUUCGGAUUCACUGGGCGUAAAGGGUGCGCAGGUGGUUUGGCAAGUUUGACGUGAAAGCCCCGGGCUUAACCCGGGAAUGGCGUUGAAAACUGCUUGAACUGGAGGGUUGGAGGGGGACUGGAAUUCUUGGUGUAGCAGUGAAAUGCGUAGAUAUCAAGAGGAACACCAGUGGCGAAGGCGAGUCCCUGGACAAUACCUGACACUGAGGCACGAAAGCCAAGGGAGCAAACAGG